UUGCAGAUGUUGCUGAACUACAACUCCCAUCAGCCUCAUCAAGCAUGGGCAAUGGCCAGAGGUGAUGGGAGUUGUAGUUUAGCAACAUCUACAG